GUUUGUAUGAAUGCCUUAUUAUUGCGUGGUCUCCAUAUCUCGAUGAGAUCAGGCAUGUAUUCAUUAAUCACUCUUUGUAGUGUUUUGGAGAGAUUACUUAGUGAAAUUAUGAAAAUGACGAUUUGGUUCCGGUGCCUGUCCACAUAACAUUAUUUUAUACAAUUAUCUUUGUCGUUAGAGCGAGGGUCCUCAGGAUUUACUAAGAUCGUUACGACAUCCACCAACAGUAAACAUUUCUGACAUUCCAACUCGUUUGGCGACUUUUGUGAACCACAUUGAACCCAGCUUUUUAAUCCAUAUAAUGAACAGUGGUUCCAUUCCGCGCAACAACAUCGUUGGCAAAAGAUGGUAAACUCCAGAAGUACUUAGAAUUGAAGUAUACUUCAGCCCACACUUCUGUUAGCGAUAGGUCACAUGGGAUAAUGGAGCUCUACAGACUGUAGGAUCGGUUUCACGAAAACAUCCAACUGAAUGGUGUGCUAAGACGCUUAUCGACCGAUCGUCAAAUUCACGCCAACGUAAACAGCGAAUCACAUGAACUGCACCAAAUUAAUUCCUGAACAUGAUCAAAGCCACCCAUGUCUUCAUGAAACGACUUCUUGUGGAUCUGCGAAAUGAAAGAAAAACCAGCAAACCUGAAUGGAGUAAUAAUAUUAACUUUAAAGUUUAGUAUUUUAAUUUUGGGAUAGGUAAUAGAACCUCUACAUGCGUCUUGGACCUUUGGUUAGUGGUUUAUACUUAUAAGCAUUAUUAAUUUGAUGGUUUCUUAUAUUUUCAAU